GGCGCAUUAAAACUAUACUAUAUUGCAUUUGUUUUACAGGCGGAUGUGAUAACAUUUUAGUCAAACGCGCAUUUCACCGUCGCGUUGUUGCGAAAAAAGAGGGCGUUUAUUUGUUAUCCUUGUACACCCUUACUGAUCAGGAAGAAGUGAUAUUUUGAACAUAAGCACGGUGUAAGUUUCAAAGAUGUAAUUUUUAGGGAGGAGUUAAACUUUUAAUUCCUUCCACGACCCUUUAUAUGUGAAAAUGUAAUGUUUUCACGAACGAAAAAUCCCGAUUUUUAAAUACAUAUAAAUACCCCUAGACAAAUUAAGUGUAAUAAAACUGGCACCCAUGACUAUUUUAGAUCAAUUAUAAAAACAAAAACAUCGAUUUGGCGAUGAUUUCUCGUUUCAUGUGCCCCAAGAGGGUUGAAAACAGCCAAACAUAGAAGUUUUAUCAUUUUUAAACCUUAU